UAUCACAUAAAUUGUUUAAAAAUAUUUCUCAUAUUUUUUUAUGCCUACAAAUAUCUAUUAAUAUUAUGUAAUAAAUCAACAUUAUAACAAGAUAAUAACACGGACACUUUGAACCCUAAUAGCACCGCCGCCAGCUUCCAUGCCUUCUCGCGCCGCCGUUCUGCCCUUAUUCGCUGCCGCUGGCCGUCGAUUAAGAUGCCCACGAGAAAUUGAAAAUUGUGAUGCUAGUGCGGGCAUGUCUUUGAUCUGUGUUUGUGCCUGUAUUUCAUUGAGUACACGACAAGUUUGCAAACUAAAGGCUGGAGGAAAGUUGGGUUUUAGGAAUAUGAAAACUUUAAAUGAAACAUAUAUGUGUAAGCUUGAUUGGCAACUUGUGGCUAAUCUAAAGAAACUUUUGUUUCAAGUUAUGAAGGCUAAAUAUAAAUGUGGUGGAAGAAAUUAUGCCAAAUAUUUCAAUUAAACCAAACUCUUCUGCUACUUGGAGAGCAACUGCAAAAGUGUGGUCGAAUGUUUGUAAUAAUGUUUCUUGGAUUAUUAAAGAAGGAAACAAGACUACGUUUUGGAAAGAUAGGUGGAUCUCUAGUUAUGACAACCUAGUGGAACGAUUUGGUCUUAUUAUUUCUUGAUCAUAAUUGAAUAUACUCAGGCGAGCUAUUGUUCUCAAUCGGGUUGGAAUUGGGAUAAAAUUAUUCUGCAUAUUCCUGCUUCAACGAGGAAAGCGAUUAAGCUGGUUCAACCUCCAAUUCUAGGCAUGAACGAUGUGGCCUUAUGGAUGCCUAAUACUAAUGGUCAAUUCUCCAUCAAAUCAACAUAUGAAAUUAUAAUGUCUAAUUCCCAAAAUGAAGAUAUGAAUGAUCUUUUUCUUUACCGAAGUCUGGAAUUGGAAGGGGCUAGCUAGAAUUAAGGCCAGUCUUUGCAUGAUAGCUCAUGGAAAAUUACUCAUGAAUGAAGAACGAGGUUGUCAAUGCAUGACCUCUGAUACUCUUUUGUUGUGGGAGCAAUGAUGCCCUACAAACAAUUAUGCAUAUCCUUAGAGAUCGUGAAGAUAUUAAGGAACUUUGGAUAGAAUGAUUAAAGAAGAACACUAGAGUAAAUUCUUUAGUCAAUGCUUUUAGUUUUGUUGGAUUGGAACUUAACAUGUAAUGAUGUGGGUAUUACUCCUUGGAAUUGGAAGACCUUCUUUGGUGUUGUUGUGGUUGCAUUGUGGAAAGACUAUAAUAAGUUAUUAUUUUCUCAAACCUCUGAGAUAGGGGACAAACUGUGGAAUUUUGAUUCACAACCAAGUUUACACUAUAAUUUCAGAGUUAAAUUAAUGUUUGGUUUCAAUAGGUAUAACCAACUCAAGAUGUCAUGUAACUUGUACUAAGCCUCCUUCGAGGCAUAUCAAGAUUAACACUAAUGGAUCUCAUUAACUUAGUAUAUUACGUUAUGACACA